rnacentral:rRNA from 1 species
GACGAACGCUGGCGGCGUGCUUAACACAUGCAAGUCGAACGGAAAGGCCCCUUUGGGGGUACUCGAGUGGCGAACGGGUGAGUAACACGUGAGUAACCUGCCCUUGACUUCGUGAUAACUUCAGGAAACUGGGGCUAAUACCGGAUAGGAAUCCUUGCUGCAUGGUGGGGGUUGGAAAGCUUCGGCGGUUUUGGAUGGACUCGCGGCUUAUCAGCUUGUUGGUGGGGUAGUGGCUUACCAAGGCUUUGACGGGUAGCCGGCCUGAGAGGGCGACCGGCCACAUUGGGACUGAGAUACGGCCCAGACUCCUACGGGAGGCAGCAGUGGGGAAUAUUGCACAAUGGGCGGAAGCCUGAUGCAGCAACGCCGCGGGCGGGAUGACGGCCUUCGGGUUGGAAACCGCUUUCAGCAGGGGCGAAGCUUGUGGUGACGGUACCUGCAGAAGAAGCACCGGCUAACUACGUG